AGGCUUGCUGGGAGCUGGAGCCGGAACAAGAGCUGGUGGAGCUGCCAAUGGAGCUGGUGGAGGAACAGCGGGAGGAGGGGUUGCUGGUGGAGGAGUAGCAGGUGGUGGGGUUGCUGGUGGAGGUGUUGCUGGUGGAGGGGUGGCGGGAGGAGGAGUUGCUGGUGGUGGGGUUGCGGGAGGAGGGGUGGCAGGUGGAGGGGUGGCAGGUGGCGGGGCUGAAACUGGAGGAGGGGUAGCUGGAGGUGGAGAUUGGGUAACGGGAGGUGGGGCUGAAACUGGUGGAGGAGUGGUUGCUGGUGGUGGGGAAGAAAUUGGUGUGGGUGGUGCUGGUGUUGCUGUUGGUGACGUUGCUGGUGCUUGACCAGCAACACCAGCAAUCGAAAUGCAAAUCAAAGAAAGAAGGAUGACAGCUUUUUUUAGCAUCAUUUUGUCUAGUUUUGAUACUCUCUCUCUCUCUCUCUCUCUGCUCUUUGCGUGCAGUCCUGACCAGUGAGGAAAUAGAGAAAGGAAGGGAGGAUUAUAAAUAGAGUGGAAGGAAGAAGGUUCGGAAGUUCGAGAGCUAUUGGUGGGGCCAAUGAGCUACCAAACAGAUCUGAGGCGUCGAUUAUGUUGUUUGAUGUGGGACCAGCAGAGCAUGUGAUUUGGAUAUGAGAUCUGGGUGACACGUCAGUAGCAGUCAGCCAGCCUUUUUUUCUAAAAAAAAAAGAAGAAGAAUUGUUAGUCACUCUUUUAGUUGUGUAUUAAUGAUGAAUUUGGGUUAGCUUAGGGGGUUGUCCUCUCCUCUCUGUGGGCGGAGUGAAAAUGGUAGAGUCGGACAUUAACAUGAUUAAAAAAAUCAUGAUUAUUAAUGAUUCUGUUGGAAUGAUUUUAUUUUGUCCUUAGAAAUGGCCAUGCAUUUGUCAACCACUUCCAAAUUAGAGCUCAAUAUCGGUUUCAAUAGUUCAGAUUAAAUAAAAAACCGCAAUAAAAUAAGUCUUUUUUCAAUUUUAAAUGAAAAUAAAGUAAAUAAAAAAAUCAUACUAAUUGGUUCAGUCUAGUUUUAUAUUUUAAGAGAUCGAAUAUAUCUACUUUAAUUCAUGAAACUUUUUCCUAGAUUAUUUUUCCUAGAUUUUAAUCUAAUGAAUCUUUAGCUUGUAAUGAGUUUUUUUUUUUCAAUUUAAUUUUUAAAAUCUAAAAUCAAAACCAAACAAAAUUGUUUUUUUAAUAAAAAAAUUAUAAUUAAACUGAUCUAAAAAUCUAAAAAAACAUUUGAUUCAGUUAAUUUUAAAUAAAAAACAGAGUUAAGGAAGUAAAAUAAAAUUAAUCCAUAUAUGGAUGAAAUUGUCACUAAACAAAUCAAUUUUACAAAAUCAACUCGGCAGAUAUUCUUUAUUCUCCCAAAAUAUAUAAAUUCAUUUUCAACAAGAUCAACUGGAAUUGCAUGGUGAUUUCUUCAAGGCUCAACUACAUGAAAACGUUGGAUGACUCGGUGAGUUCAGGUUAAUUGAAUACAGUUCAUCCAUACUCGUUUGUAAGAAAUCUAAACGAUGAUAUGAAUAGCAUAUAAGUAGAUCCAGCUCCCACUGCGAAGUCCCUCCAGCUUUUUUCAACAAUAAAGUUUCACGCAAAAUCAGGCACAUCGAUAGUUCCUAGUCUUGUUCAUACAAUAAAUGUUAAAGAUUUUAAGUUUGAUUUAUACUUUAAAUAUUUUAAUUAUACUUGUUUUUAAGAUGUCAUUUUAUCAAUUCACUAACUAGUUGGUUGAUACAUGAAUUGACUCGCAUUUCUUGAAUUAAUCUUAAAAUCCAACUCGACAACUGUGAAAAUGAGAGGUAUUCUACUAGUCAAGAAUAAUGAGCGAUCCUUUUUACCGAAGAAGCAACAGGAGGAUUAUGGUUAGUGGGCCCUGCCCUCAAAUGAGCUGGCCCUUAAUCAUAGCAUUGCCAUCGGAUUGGCACUGGCAGAUGUAUAUUUUACGCUUAAGUUUUGGCUGUAAUCUGCCAAAUUUUAGUUGGGGUGUUGGAGCACCGCCAUUGUGUGGUGGCCCUUGCUGUGCUAGCUGUCUCGCCGUGACAGGCGCUCUUUAGGGAGCCUGGAGGCUAAAUAAUCCUUGCCAGUUCGUCGUUGAGUUUGAAUAAUAAACACAAAAUUAGGCCUGGAGACAUGAAAAUUAUGCAGAAAAAAACGAUGAUAACGAGUAAAACUUCCAACAAGUUCCAGCUACAUGUGUUGCCGCUAGCCUGUAACCAGUUCUGGUUUUUUUUUUUUUUUUUUUUUUUGGGGGGGGGGGUCCUGACUCCUAAGCUUGUUGAGUGUGAGGGAUCAUUAAACUGGGUUCACGUGUCUCAUCCAGACUGGUUAGAAUUUGGAAAGGAAACGGUAGAUGGAUGACCUUUGCUUAUAAUCCAAUCCUCCGUUAGAUUUUCUUUAUUUUUUUUCUUCUUUUUUUGGUAUAAAGAUAAAAGAAGAUGUUCGUUUUCAUAAGAUCCCAAGAAACUCCUCUGCAGUAUUAUGAUUACUAAUAGCUUAAUCAAGGGUUCUGUUUUUAUUGACCUGUCACCAUCACCAUCACCAUCUCCAUCGCCAAGGUCCAGCCUGUAGGUUUGUAGUUAUCUUUCGCAACAAGCGUUUAAUUAUAGGCUGAUAGUCCCUUUCGUUGUAUGUUUCUUUUUUGUUUGGAGAUUGAUGGUCGGAGUCGGAGAAUGCCACGGUAAAGUAUGGACAUGCAUUGUCCUACUUAAAAAAUAAUAAUAAAAAAAAUCUUAAUUAUAUGCAUAGGCCUGGCGAUCCGAUUAGGAUGUUUUGCUUGAAAUUGUGUCGUACUGACUUUUAUUUUGAAAACAAUAUCAAUUACCUAGCUGAUGAAUUUGGAUUUUAUCGGUAAGAUUAUAUAUAUAUAUAUAUAUAUAUUUUUUUUUUUUUCCUUAAAAAAAAACUUUAGAUAAAAAAAAUACACAAGUAUAUUUUUCUCAAAUUAACAUACAUGUUGGGUUGGUACACAUCGACCCCAAAUACCCCUACAACAAGUGUGUUGUGACAGUACGCCAGGCCUAUCAGCAUGGCUUGACGCUCUUCCAGGUCAACAAGGUGGCCCUGACACCCAUCUCUCGCGAGUGUCGAGCCCAAGACUUUUUGCCAUUUUAUCCCGGACAUGGUUAGACACUCAUUGUUUGCCUUGGUCUAAAACGUGACUGGACCCAUUACAUUUAUUGAUUCAAACAUAAUACUUGAAUCUAACACCACGUCUCUACAUAUUUUACAUAAAUAUUAGAUGAAUUAUUUUUUAAAAAAUAGACUUAAUUAAACAAGUAUACAGUUCACCAAUACCAUUUGGUGUAUUAAAAUCUCUCAUGACCCAAUAUGUCUCAAUCUCUUAGCUAGAUAGAACGAGUAAAACACAACUUAUAAUAUAAAUUUGAUUUAUAAGGGUGGAAUGAUGACUCUCUCAUUCUUCCAUUGAAGCAAAAUGACAAGGUUUAGGGGUUAUAAAUACCCUCUAAACUAAACAAGUAAUGGUUCAUAAUCUUUUUAUUAUUAAUAUUUUUAGUAUAUAUGUUUUUAGAGUUCAUCUCUCUAAAAUAUUAUUGUAUUUUUUUUUUAAAAAUACUUGAAUAUUUGAGAGUUUUCAAAUCUAUAAAUUUGUUUUUUAGAGGUAUCCACCAUCUUGACCUACCAGACACCAAGUACAACCACCAACCACAUUUACUAGGGAGAAUAGAUCAAAUUAUUAUAACUAAGAGAUUAACUAGUUAUUUAAAAUAUAAUAUUUUUUUUUAAACUAUUUGCAUUUUCCAGGACAUCAUCAAUAACGGAAUUUCUUCCGAACAUUUUAUUAUAGAAAAACAAAAUCUUAAGUAGGUUGACAUGAUUUUUCAUUGAUAUAUAUCUUCUGGGCAUGAAUGGUUAAGACUUAAGAGAUGAAAAGUAAUUAUAUAUAACAUGAAUUUCAUUGUAUUUGCAUAUUUGGCACCGAGAAACUGGUCAAACGAUUAAUAAUUACACUGUUUUCCAGGUUUUAAAAGUCCAAAAUCAGGUAAGAUUACUGAGAUUGCGAGGAGUAAAGUUUUCACGAAUCUUAAAAUCUUGACAUAAUUGAUCCAUACGUGAAAAUCAAUCAAGAGACAUCACUUUGACAAAAAACAAAAAGAAAUAUAAAGAGAAAAAAAAAAAGAUAUCCCACGCAAAAAAGAGAGAAGAUUCUUCCACUUAUGCAGUGAUGAAGCAGUAAUUUAGGUGGUUGAUUAUUCUCAACGCAAAAAAAAGCACCGACUGAGUGGGCAUUCCAUAGAAACUGAAAUUGAUAUAUUGCCAGUACCUAGCCCUUCCAAUCUAUGUUAAACAAUGUGACAAUUAAUGGCUUCUUCUUCAAUCCUUUAUGAUCUUAGCAUUGUCCACAUGUAUCACAGUGCCAUUACAACACCUGUCAAGGAUUUGCCUUCUCAACUCCCUCCAUAAUUCAAUCUCCAACAACACCCUCAUUUUUUUUAGAGUACCUUUCAGUUGUUAACAUACACGUUUCCCCUCGCAUUUUACACGACAAUUAUCAAACAAGAUUACUCUCUGGAAUCUUGAUUUUCUUGGUCCGAUCGAAUUGAAAACAUUACUAUAUAUAACAGGUACGGUUCACGAGGACAAAUCAUACGAAAGGUAGGUCCAAAGUCCAUGUAAACGAGAGUAAAGUAAAAGGGAACGUGGACUGUGGGGGGGCCAAGUUAGUUUGGCGAUCAUUUCCUGCAAUGUGAAUGAUUGUAACUUGCUAUCCUCCUCUUGUUGGCCCUUUAGUUUCUUUUCCUUGAGGUUAAAUUGACCUCCUUCCUACCUCUUAAUUAAUCCUAGGCUGACUUUAUGAUAACGUGGUUUCAACUGCAAGCCGGGAAAGGUUUUGCUAGGGCAAACAGUCAGACCAUAACAACACUAAUCAUUCAUGGAGGGACUGUAUUUUGGUUUGGCUUCAUCACUAUAUUAAAUUAAGUUGUAACAGUAUAUUCCACUUUCGUCGUGGACAGGCCUUUCCCUUUUACGAGAAGAGAAGAUAAGAAAACCAUACAUUUAUUAGAGAGAAAUACCCUUUUUUUAGCUGUUGUAUUUGUGCUAGAAAGUUAAUUGGUGCCAUGUGUUUUUAUUGUGAUCAAUUUGGCUAAAAUGCGACGUGAUACAUUCCAGACGACGGCGUCAACGAGCCUUCCUCGUCAAUUGGCUUAAUUUGAUCAAUUCUUGAGAGCUGGUUAGCAGCAUGCAGAAGGUCUUGGAUGGAUGUUCUGAACAGUUCAAGAUAGCUAGCUGAGCUUGUCCCUGGGGAAAGAUAAAUUAUAUUCUCGGACAAAAUAAAAAAAAGCCACACAAGUUGACUUCUCAAGACAAUUAUUACGGGAAAAAGAGAUUCUACUCUUUUUAUCAGACAAAGCUGUCCAAACAAUAAUUCAAUACUUUUAAUUUUAUAUGCUUUUUUCCCUUCAUGUCUAAGUCGGGUUAACGAAUAAUUAUUACGUAAUGAAAUUUCACUAGUACCAUUAUAUGGAAAAGAAAAGAAAUACAAUAGAAUAUUGGGUAAUUUUACACGGUGUCUCUGUGCAUGUCAAUAUGUAAGUAGUUAAUUUGACCGCGAGACUCUAUCAUAGUUGCUGUCUCUGUCUCUUGUCGUGAGAUGUUAGAACAUUUGCAUCAUGGACUUUGCAGGUGGCACAUCUUAUCUUCGCCAAAACCCUCAGCCACACCUCCGUCACCUAAAGCCCAUGUCAGAGAAUGAAAUGAAAGCUAAAACCUAAUUCUGAAACCCAGAUCCACUACUUAUUCCCAGGUCUACCAUUGCAUAUAUUGGCCUUUUCUAUAUCUCCUUAGCCCAACCCAACUCCUCCAUCCCCAUCCUCAAACUGCCCAAAUUUCUGGUGGAUGUCUGUCUCUGUCAUAUCACCACACCGGGACACUCUGGACCCAACAAAAAUGGAACGAUCUGUUUUUUUUAUACUACUUGACCCAGGCAGGGGCAUUCAAGUAUUUAAAAAAUCGUGAAAAAGUUAUAGAAUAGUACGCCAGGAUUAAGGCGGGAUCAGACAAAUUCUGUGUUUCUCACUCACACAAAACCCAAAAAACCCUUAUCUCUCUUCGCAUUCUCUCAAAACACCAAAAUUUAAAAGGAAAAAAAUAAAAAAUCAAGCUAAUUCAAAACCCUCCCCCUCUCUCAGAAACACAAAAUUCUCGAUUUUUUUCUUUUUUCAAAUGGCAAUUUCUUCAGGGAUUUUCUCUACUUUCCUAUCCACCGAAACGGUGCCGCUUCUCAAGUUUCCUUCUCUUACAUCCACACCUCCUCUCAGGUUUCUGGCUGCGCCUCCCGCGAACCCGCGCAUGGCGCGUAGUACUGUAGUUACCUGCGCCACGGCAUCGACCGGAAACCGUGCUCCACGAGGCAUAAUGAAGCCGAGGCGAGUCUCACCUGAAAUGGCGGACUUUGUUGGUGCUCCUGAGGUCUCUCGUACUCAGGCUCUCAAGCUUAUAUGGGCCCAUAUUAAGGAGCAAAAUCUUCAGGUAUAAUUUUUGUUAGAAGUCGACAUUUUGUUCUAAAAUCUUGGGUUCCUGUCAUUUCCUGUGCUUAAUUUUUAGUUAAACGUUUGGAUAAGGUUGUUUUGGGACGGUAAAAUGUGGUUGUUUUUAUUCAUGGGUUUUUAUGCUGUUGAUUAUUUAAUUGAUUAGCUGGAGACGUGUCAUGUUUGUGGAUAAGGUUGUGCUGGUGUCAGCGAAAUGUUCCAGUUCUGUUGUUUUUUUAAGUGGGUUAUGCGGUUAUUGUAUUUUAGUUCUGAAAAUGUAAUAUGUUUUAUGCGUUGUUUCUUUUGUGGGUUUGGAUAAUGUUAUGAGGCUGCUGGAUAAUUGUGGGUUCUUGAGUAUUGUUUGUUUGCUGCUCGUGUAAUUGAAUGGUGUUAUACUUGGAUAUGUUUGUUCCAUGUAGUUUUUUAUUCUUGCAUGGCCUGCUCUUUAUUGCUGUGAAUUCGUUGAUGCAUGAACAAGGUGUCUCUCAUGUUAGGGAUAGAUUUCAUCACUAUAAUUUUUGUUGAGACAUGAUUUUAUAUAGAAUUUGGGCUGAGACAUGAUUCUGUAGGUAGUUCAAGUUUGAGAAACAAUUCAGAAUAAUUUCAAAUUUGUAAUACAUGAAUGUGGUAUGCACUGCUUUGUUGAUACGACCACAUGCAGUAUGUUUAUAUGAAUGUGGCUUAAUUAGAGGUACUGGAUUUUACUAACCUGAAAAUUGCAAGGCAGCGCUUACAAACUUGAGGUUCAACACGAAGACUGGCUGUUGGCUUGUCAUUUCCAAGCAGCUAUCGGUCUUUACUAUUAGGGUUAGCUUCCAGCUGAAUAAUUUGGUUGAAACAAAAAGCAUGAUUGGUGUUUGAGUAAUGGAUACAAUGUUCACUUAAUUAUCGUUUUACUUCAACCUUUAGAACAUUUGCUAGUCCAUCUGCUGGUGCGGUCACUUCCCUUUAUUUGUUGCGUGGUGUAAUUACUAAUUUGGUGCUAACUCUUUUCUUAAAAUGCAGUAGUAUUGCUCCUCUAGUUCGUCAUGUUUGCAUGAAUCUGGUGUUUGUUUUUCUAGCUGUUUCUGAGCCAUUGCAUAGAACAUCCAUGGUGUACUCAUAUAUGGUUAUCUCAUUAAUUUGGAGCUGACUUGACUUGCUGUGUUUUUAGGACCCUAGUAACAAGAAGAUCAUAAUUUGUGACGAGAAGUUGAAGAAGAUAUUUGCUGGUAAAGACCAGGUUGGAUUUCUUGAGAUUGCUGGGUUGAUUAGUCCUCAUUUCCUCAAAUGAAGUUCAAGAUAAUGGAUCCAGUCUUCGUGGUCAUCUUUCCCGUGGCAGGGCUAUCUUUUUUGUUGAUGACAAUAGUCAAAAUUAUGCCUGGUGCUUUCGGCAGCUUGUGUUUUUAGUCUUAAUUAGCAGUACUUACGUGCAGAACUAGCUUUGUUAAGAAUUUUGCUUAUGGAGCCCUUAAAUAGUACGAUUUUCAAAAUGAUAUUACAACUUUCUGCCAGUUUAUGCUUCUGUUGAUGAAUCUCAAAUUUUGAUUGAAUCUUGUAUGCAGCUGUGGUUCUGGCAAUAUUUUCAUAUUGGGUGCAUGCUGCAUAAAACAGGCUCUUGGUAUGAUUUUAGAUAGUUUUGAUCUAACAGAAAAACUUAUCUCAAAUGAUCAUGGAAGCAGUCGUAUUAAGCCGCCCGUUGCCUGCACUUACCUACCUUAAUUACGAACUAGAGUUGUUGAAAUGAUUUUUGGUAAUUGAGCAUCUCUGGAAAGGCCUCCGGAGUUGGACUCAUAAGUCAUAACGAGUUCUUGCACAGAACUCCCCCAAAAUGGGAGUGCGUGAGGGCACUAGUAAUAGCAGAAAAGGGAACUUUAUUGAAGAAUAUUUGGUUGCAGAAACAAGAAAGAAGUGGAACGCAGUUCUAAUCUAAUCCUCGCUUCUGGGUCUCCUAAUUUUCUAUGGAAUCUUUGCACGGUCAUUCCUGCAACGGGAAACACAAAUUAGAUCAGCGAAUUCCAUAUCACCACAUGUACGGCAUUAGCUUUUGAACUCCGCAAGAUUGGAGAGAGACUUUUAAACUCGAAAUUCCCAUAGAGAGUUUGAUAUUAGGGUAGCUUGAAAUAAUUUUUGUUUUUUAUAUGGAUUCUAUAUAUAAUUAUAUUUUAAAUAUUAAUUUUGUUUAAAUUACAAUAAUAUAUUUUUUAUUUAUUUUACAUGAAAAAGUUUAUCAUAUCAAUCUUAAACAAACUCAUAUUUUUUAAUUUAUUUAUUUUAAUCCGCAACUAUUCCUCUUUCAACUCCCUAGAAAAAUUUCAAUCAUAAUGUUUAGUUCUUUGUCAAUUUCUUUACUCCUCCGAAGCAGAGAGUCACCUUUUGCUGACAUGGCAAGCUCUAUCUGUUCGCCAGAGAUUCUUGUCUGCUACCAUGGCAAUCUCCACUACUCACUCACCACGUAGGAUUGAAACCCUCCUCCCCUCUCAAACAUCCCCUCUCUCUAAGAAUCUCAACUUGAAACACCACACAAAAAAAUCUCUACUUUCUCAAGUCAAAAACACCACACAAACUCAACUAAAGAAACCAACUUUUAUAAUCCUUAAACCCGCCCAAAGCCCUCCCAAAGCCUCUCACUCUAAAAAUGACAGAGAAACUAGCUCUCCCUCUUCUCCUCACAAACCCACCCCCAACAAAACUCUUACUGCCUCUCCAAUCUCACCUCCACCAACAACAGCUAAAACUAACAACACCCACUUCACCACCACCACAACAUGGCACCCCACCUAUGCAAGACUUCCUUUUCAAGCAAAGCCCCAAUCUUUCCAAACCCACCAACCCGCCAACCCAACCUGAUCCAUUUCCUAUCCCAAGAAACCGAACCCGAAUUGGCAAGGCCCGUGACCCUAACCGUGGUAAACCCUGGACCCACCGUCGUCUCUCCCUUCAAGGUCAGCGAGUUCUAGAUUCUUUAAAUGACCCUUCUUUCGAAACCAGUGAAUUAGAUAAAAUUUUGAGUCUUUUAUUUGAUUACUACAAAGAAGAGUUGAGUUUAAGUAGUGGUGGUAAGGAGAGGUUAAGUAAUGAUGUUUUGGGUAUUAUUAAGGGUUUAGGGUUUUAUAAAAAAAGUGACCUGGCUAUGAGUGUGUUUGAGUGGUUUAAGAAUAGGAAUGAUUGUGAAUCUGUCUUGAGUAAUUCAGCUGUGGCUGUGAUUAUUAAUAUGCUUGGUAAAGAAGGAAAAGUUUCGGUGGCAGCAUCUUUGUUGAAUAAUUUGCAUAAAGAUGGGUUUGAACCUGAUGUUUAUGCGUAUACAUCUUUAAUAACUGCUUGUGUUAGUAAUGGGAGGUAUAGGGAAGCUGUGAUGGUUUUUAAGAAGAUGGAGGAAGAAGGGUGCAAACCAACUUUGAUUACUUAUAAUGUGAUUCUGAAUGUGUAUGGAAAAAUGGGCAUGCCUUGGAACAAGAUUAUAGGUCUGUUUGAGGGAAUGAAGAAUGCUGGGAUUUUGCCGGAUGAGUAUACAUAUAAUACGCUGAUAACUUGUUGUAGACGAGGAUCUUUGUAUGAAGAAGCUGCUGCGGUUUUUGAGGAUAUGAAAUCGAUGGGGUUUGUGCCUGAUAAGGUCACUUAUAAUACUUUAUUGGAUGUUUAUGGGAAGUCUAGGCGGAUUAAGGAGGCGAUUGAGGUAUUAAGAGAAAUGGAGGUCAAUGGAUGUUCACCAAGCAUUGUGACAUAUAAUUCGUUGAUAUCUGCUUAUGCAAGGGAUGGUCUGUUGGAAGAAGCAAUGGAGCUUAAAAACCAGAUGGUUGAAAGAGGGAUUAAACUGGAUGUUUUUACUUACACUGCAAUGUUGUCAGGAUUUGUGAGGACUGGUAAGGAUGAGUCUGCAAUGAGGGUUUUUGAGGAAAUGAGAACUGCAGGUUGCAAACCUAAUAUUUGUACUUUCAAUGCCUUGAUUAAGAUGCAUGGUAACAGGGGAAAGUUUGCAGAAAUGAUGAAGGUUUUUGAGGAGAUCAAAAUUUGCUGCUGUGUACCAGAUAUUGUUACUUGGAAUACCCUUCUAGCAGUGUUUGGGCAAAAUGGGAUGGACUCAGAAGUGUCUGGAGUUUUCAAGGAGAUGAAGAGGGUUGGCUUUGUACCAGAGAGGGAUACCUACAACACCCUAAUCAGUGCGUACAGUCGGUGUGGUUCAUUUGACCAAGCCAUGGCUAUGUACAAGAGAAUGCUGGAAGCUGGGAUUACACCUGAUCUUUCCACCUACAAUGCUGUUUUGGCAGCAUUAGCUCGAGGAGGGCUAUGGGAACAGUCAGAGAAAAUACUUGCUGAAAUGCAAGAUGGCAUGUGCAAGCCCAAUGAACUGACACACUGUUCUUUGCUUCAUGCUUAUGCCAAUGGCAAGGAGAUUGGACGGAUGCUUGCUCUUGCGGAGGAGAUAUGCUCUGGUGUAAUUGAACCUCAUGCUGUGCUCUUGAAGACCCUUGUUUUAGUUAAUAGUAAAUGUGACCUCCUAUUAGAAGCUGAGCGUGCAUUCCUAGAGUUGAAGAGAAAAGGCUUUUCACCUGACUUGAGUACUCUGAAUGCCAUGAUUGCUAUUUACGGCAGGAGGCAGAUGGUUACCAAAACAAAUGAGUUCUUGAACUUCAUGAAAGAGAGUGGGUUCACUCCUAGCUUGGCAACUUACAAUAGUUUGAUGUAUAUGCACAGCCAAUCAGAGAACUUUGAGAGGUCAGAAGAAGUUUUAAAAGAAAUCUUUGCAAAGGGAAUAAAACCAGAUAUAAUUUCAUACAACACCGUUAUUUUUGCGUAUUGUCGAAAUGGGCGGAUGAAAGAGGCUUCACGUAUAUUCUCAGAAAUGAGAGAAUCUGGGCUUAUUCCAGAUGUAAUCACAUAUAAUACUUUUGUUGCAAGUUAUGCAGCUGAUUCAAUGUUUGAGGAGGCUAUUGAUGUUGUUUGCUACAUGAUCAAGCAUGGAUGUAAACCGAACCAGAAUACAUACAACUCAGUCAUUGAUGGAUACUGUAAACUUAAUCGCCGGGACGAUGCAAUCAAGUUCAUAAGCAGCCUUCAUGAGCUUGAUCCACACAUUUCCAGGGAGGAAGAGUGCAGGUUAUUAGAGCGUUUAACCAAAUGGUCAUAGGCAAUCCCUUUCUUAUAUGUCUCAUGUUUUGAUUAGGCAUGAAGAUGUGGUUAAUAUGGAUGAUCCAGCAAAAGCUUCCUAAUGUUUCCUGGAGGCUGAAGAGAUGCAAGCACUCAGGAACACAUCUAUUUGGAAGGCGGUGCUUGGAUCCAGAUAAGACAUGAAAAGAAGGGGAAAGGGGAGUUAUUGACUUCAAGGUAUGAGUACCUCUAUCAAAUGUGAGUGAUUUUGUACCAUUAGCAUUUGGUGGUUAUGAGAAUCAAAAUUUUGAAAAUUUUCUCUGCAACAUGUUAUCAUUGUGAUUAAUAACUUGAUUCUCUUAAUGUACAAGAAGAAGGCAUUUUUAUUAUAUUUACUUGAGAAGAAAAUUGUUUCUCUGUAACUAUGGAAUUGGGAUGGAUAUCCUCAUUUUGUUCUUAUGGGCCAUAUAGAUUAAAAGUAUUGUUUUGUUAGUUGAACUUGGUUUUGAAUCUCUUGCCAAAGCAUUUCCUGGCCUCACCCUAUCUUACCCUUUUCCUGAGUAUGAGGAGUUAUUUAUUUUGACAAAAUUUUACUGUCGUUGGAAAGGUGGCCUUUAAUUUUCAUUGCUAAGAUGUGAUUUUUCAUGUAAUGUUGUUAGGUUCUUGAGCUUCGAACCAUGUGGUAAAGAAAGAAGGAAGAAUGAAUGGUUUGUCCAGGAGAGUUGCUAAUUGGCCAUUUCUUAGCUGAUGAUACGUGAUCUUACAUAAAGUUCUGGCUUCUGGCGAUAUAUACUGAAAGUUGCUAAAGGUGUGUACAAUGUAUAUAUUGUAGCUGUAACAAAAAGUAAAAAGCUAUAUAUAAAUGCCGAGUUAAUGAAUAGCUAUGCCCUAAAGAUCACGAUAAUGUGGCUUUUGAACUCCAUUUGUUAGUUUUGUGAAGCUCAGUUAUACUCGAAACCAGAAACAUGAAAGCCAACAGUGUGUUUCAGCGGUCCACUGGACUGUUCUAUCUUCAAGAAUGAUUAUGAAAAACAGAAACGUUGUUAAUGAGGAGAAACUUAUAUAGGAGUAAUUGUCUAUCAUCAUCCUUGUAUUCCUGGUUGAACUUCAUGUGUGUUUGGCUCGUUUCGUGUCGCGGUAGUUUUUACCAUCACAGUUUGAAAAAAUAGCUUCAAGCAUGGCCAAAGUUUUAAAAGAGAGUUUAUAGUGAAAUUCACUAUGAUAUAUCGAGUAAUUAAACAUUUUUAAAAUUGUGAUUAGGACAAAACAUAGUUUCAAUCAGUACAUUAGCAAUCAAUCCUUCAUACAUUUGUCACCAUCCUGUAAUUUAUUUGAUGUAUUAUCAAUGACAAGUCCUUAAAAUUCAUCCUUACUAGGAACAACAUCGUAAGUUUCAUGUCUACUUCAAACAACUUGCUUAAUGGCUGGCUUAAAAUAUUUGCCAAAACCAUAUUUCAUUUCUUACUGUGAUUUUCUCUGCAUAAAGCAAAGGAUUUUGAACUUCAAUCUUCCAAGCUGGCCUGGGUCCUAAUCUAGAGGUACUAUAUUUUUCCAUGGUUAUUCACUAGAGAAAAGUAAUUAGCUCAUAGAAACAGAGUCUCUGUCUUCCUUGGUGACAUGAUUUAAGCAUUAGACCUCAGAGUUAACAGGGUUGCACGCUAAAAAUUCCAAGUUAAAACCCGUCAUUACAAUAGUCGGAUGACAGCUCCCUAGGUCUGAUACUAACUUGUCAUUCAGAGUUGGAUAGAAAUAGCAUAAAAUACAUUAUUUUGAAUCAAGUAAUGAAUUUCACUCAUUUUGCUAAAAAGUUUUAACACAAAUGCUAAUCCAUCCACAGUUCCGCUGCCUGUUCAUAUGAAUGGCGUCCUCCGCAACUCAAAUUAGCUCCUAUCUUCAGAGAUGCAAUAAUCUGACGUGGCUGUCGAUUUCAUAGCUUUGUUUUAUCAAGUAUGGGUCCAGACAAACCAUAAUAGUAUUAGUUCCAACUCCAUGGUUUAGUUAUUAUAAGAACCCUGUUUAAGUAGGGAUCACGUUAGGCUGAGAAUGAUGAUUUAGGCUCCAAACACCAGAAAACAGUUGUCAGAACUCCCUUUUUUCUAUGGUUUAACUUUCAAUGUGACAAUGAACUAAUAAAGCGUACAAGGUAAACAAAAUGCCUAUUUAGUAAUUACCAAAACCCCAAUAACAAGGAUAGAAGCACCAUGAUAUAAACAAGGUGUUUCAAUAAAUAAACUGAAUUUUUAGGUCCAUUUACACAUUUCCACGACGUAAUUACUCAUCUUUGACUCUCUAAUCUCCCUCUUCUUGCAAGCACUUCUCUCCAUCCUUCUCUCUUAUUUGCAAAAUCAGAAAACACAAUCACAUUGAGUUGGUGGUGGGCAGGAGCCAUAGGUGCCGCAAAGACAUUUUUUUUUUUAUAAAAAAACUCAAUUUAUUCCUCUUCAUAUUACAUUUCCUGUUAUGUAAUUAUAGGUGAGCUAAUAAUUUUUAUUUGAUCAAACAAAACGGAACAAAACUUUAGAGGAUGGUGAUGCACCGCCAAAAUACCAAAGCGUGGCCCUCAUAAUAGGUGCCACAGGCAUUGUAAGCAGCGGCUUGUGAUGUCUUGAACGAUGCAUAAACCCAUUGAAAAACUCUCAAAACUCACAGAUGUAACCCACAUCUUUUACGUUGCCUGGGCUAGCAAGUCUACAGAAGCUGAAAACUGCAUUUUUAACAGCACCAUUUUACAUAACGUGCUUAAAGCUGUAAUCCCUAACACUCCAAACUUGCAGCACAUUUGCUUGCAAACAGGACGCAAGCAUUAUUUGGGUUCUUUUGAGUCUUGUUUAAGGUUCAGCUCUCAUGACCCUCCAUUACAUGAGGAUCUUCCAAGGCUAAAUUCAUUGAGUUUUUAUCAAAGGAUGUUUUGUUUAAUAAGGUUCAGAGGAAGGGGGGUUUGAAAUGGUCUGUUCAUAGGCCUGGAGCUAUAUUUGGGUUUUCUCCGGCUUGUUUGUUGAAUAUGGCGAGCACUCUGAGUGCUUACGCCACCAUAAGCAAGUAUGAGGGGCUUCCAUUGAUGUUUCCAGUAGCACUAGUUCAUUUAGGAGCUCUAGUUUCCUGAAACAGAUCCCAGCCGGUGGUUAUUUUUAGCUGCUGUCGCAACUUCAAUCCUUCUUCUUGUUGUAUUAAUGGACAUACUGAUGAGCGAGCAGUGUGUUACUUGGCACUUUAGCCAUCAAAAUACAGGCAAAGCAAGAGCAACAUGAGACAAGGGAGAUGCAGUUCAAUGGGACAUGAUUAACAAAACAAAAGGGAUUUAGAGCCUUUGCCAAGCAUUUUCAGAAAUCCUCAAAGGAUGUUCAUCCCAACAUUUUGUAAGCCUUCCAGGUUACACCAGUUUUUGGGAACGUGAUGAGAAGACGACAUUUUCAUAAUGUUUUGCAAGCUUGUAAUCCAGUUAUUUUUCUAUUGUGGGGGUGCCGGAAACAACCACCAAGUAGAUUCUUCUCGGUCAGCAGCUUUGUACCCCGAUACCAGGCUAGAGUCUAGAUCUGGCUCUUUCCAUUCCCAACAAACCCCAUCGUUUACUUAUCACGCCACAGGAAGGCUGAAAUGUUGAAAUAGCUAUUUGGGUUACAUAGUUGGAGAACAUGUCACAUUGAACUACCGAGACAGCAGAUCACUAAUACAAUUCAAAUCAACUGGCAUUAGCAUGCAUUUGGGAAAAUUUCAAAUGUGGCCCUUACACAUCUGCUGAACAUGUAACAUUGAACUAUUCAUGGAUAACAUCAGUGAUUCAAAUCGUCUCUGAUUAGUGAUGCUUUUGAGACAAUUUUCAAAGUGGGGCUAGACAUUAUUUGCUUAACAUGUAAAAUUGAUCCGUUCAUUAAUAGCAUUGAUGAUUCACUGUGCAUUGCAUACUUCAUGAACAUCUAAUCUAAUGAAAAUGAAAGAAAAAGAAACUCAACAUGACUAAAGAUGUGAAGAUCUAUUGUAUGCAAUAGAACAACAACUACCAAGUAUAAAACAACAUUGGUGGGGCAUAAACAUCGUGCAAGUUCAAUGGUUGUCCUUUUUAGGAUUGCACCUGAUAGCAUGCAACAUUUAAGAUAUUUUAAGCAUCAUUUCAAGUCAAGGUGCAAAUAUUACCAAAAGAUGAGACCGUGGAAACAAGUUAGAUUCUUGAGUUUACAAUGACAACACAAGAAUGACACAAAUUUAAUGUAAUCCAUGAAUGCCGACAGGGAAUGGCACUUUCUAUAAAUCAAGAUCAAAAUGAAAUGAAAUGUGGUGCCAGAGUCUCCUAAAUCUAAGUUAUACUAAAGCCUGUUUGAUCUUGACUGAAAUGUACAUAAUCGUUUGCAGCACCAGAGCCAGAGUUCCGAGUAUGGCCAUCGUUGCAUCAGUAAAGGAUCAAAGCUAAUGUUGCAUCGCUUGUUGAGAAGUAGACCUGAUUAUCGAAUUCUGAAAGAUUUUGAGGUACAGUAAGUUGCAAAGCUCAACCGAAUUAGUGAUGUAUUAUUUCAUCUCCUGGAAGUAGCUGUAGAAUUUCAUUGCUGGUAGUUGCUUCCAAAGUCAGAAGCCUACGAAAUUAAUAAAAACUUUUGCCACGAUUCUCUUGGACCAUACCUCUUCUUUUUUAAAGUCAUACCCCUUCCAUCUCCACAUGUUAUAGUUUGAUGAGUAAGAGAGCCAGUUGCUCAUCGGACACUUUAACAUCAAUGAACGCUCCUAAUGCUGCUGCAAGUCUUGCAGCUAAUUGAUGCUUACACUGAAAUGGAUUCAAGAAAUGAAAGAGUUAAUCAUAAAACAUUAUAGAAAAGUGGUUUCAACAAACUGAAAUGAUAAAUAAGAAAAAAAAAAAAGGAACUCUUACACAAAGUUGUUCUCCUCUGUUGACAAUGUCAUAAAAAAAUGAAUAACAGGCACAAUAGUGUUCAGGAAAACAGAAAUACUCCUCCUUCCUCCGUGAUUCUCCCACCACCUAACAACACCAGCAAACAAGAAAUUAUUUUACCAAAUGAGUUCUUAAAUGAUCAAAUCUUAAUCUUUACUUCUAUCUUUUUAAACGAAACAUAUUUAAUCCUAUUUAUAAAUUUACACCAAAACAGUCAAACUCAUCAGAUAUUCCAUUUAAACUGAAGUUCCUAGCUUAUCGCCCCGCCAUUUUAUCACAAAACAAUUCAACCUAAACCAAUUUUAUUUGCCUUGUAAAACCCGAAUUAGGCCCUAGAUCCAAACUCUAACAACCAUGAGCAAAAAUUUGAAGUCUAAAGUACAAUGCAUAGCAAAGAAUAGAAUUGAACCUGAAAGAUGGAACGACCACUGGGCUGACCAGAGAUCUUUUUGACACCUCGCUGAUCCACUAUCUUUGUUGCCCUCUCAAGAUUCUUACCAAACAAGAAAUGCAAGCUACAUUUAACCCAAACAACACACACAAAGAAAAGGCCAAAAUCAAUCAACCCAUUUACACCCUUCUACAAAUCAAUACUAACUUGAUCAAAAGCAAGCUAGGAAAUUGGAAAGUGACUAUUUUAUAUGCUACUCACAUUGAAAGCUGCUCCUCAGUCACUGCCACCAUUUACAUUAGCCACGGAAGAAAAAAAAAAAGACACUAAACGUCAUUUAAUAGAAGGUGGGUUUAAAAGACUUCAAUAACUAAAUACUAAAAAGCAUGAGAUAUAGAAAGAGAGGACCUGAUUGGGUUGAUUCAAUGGUUUUCCAAACUGUAUCUGCAACCAAACUACUACUUGCACUCAUUCCUUCUUCCUUAAUUUUGCACUACAACCUACCUGAAUGUUCGAGGGUCUCCACUGAUUCCCAUUUGUCUUGAGUGUCCUGUUUCUGAAAUUUCAAGUCUUGUUCUAAGAACAAGAAAAAAAAUUUCGAGUUUAUGAGCUCAACCUCAACGGGUUCAAUUUCUCUGUGAUAGUGAGUUUUUUUAGGCUUUGUUUUGGUCUCCUAUCCCUUGCUCGUUUCGAAAGUCUUCACUCUUGAGCCCGGUAACAAAUGGGCUUUAUGAGCUCACCGGGUCUAAUUUCUCCUUGCAUUUUCUAAUUAAUUUUAUAUAUUUAAAAGAGUUAUUUUUAAAAUUAUUUUAAAUUUAAAAAUAUAUUAAAAUAAUAUUUUUUAUUUUUUAAUUUAUUUUUAAUAUUAGUAUAUCAUCAUUAAUAUUUUUUUUCUCUCCUUUUCUCAUCCUUCUAUUUAUCUGCAUAAUUUUCUAUUUUGCUUUAUAAUAUAAAAAAAUAAUUUAAAGUUAAUUUUUUUAAAAAAAUACGGUUCAACAGUAAUGCAAAAUACUAUUCUAACCUGACAUGUGUCUCACAAAACACACAGCUCACAUUUUACUAUGUAUAUCUUUUAAAUUAAUUUUAUUUUUGUUAUAUAAAAGGAGGUUUGAAUCAAAAUUGAAGAUACGAAUUGAGGCCUAGGGCGAGCCCACGUUAUUAUGCCUUAGGAGGUCUAAUUGACUCAUUUAUAUUAAUUUAAUACCUUUAUCAUUAUGGCUUCUCCUAAUCUUGCGUCUUUGCUCAUACGACCAGGUUGCCUAUAUUUUCAAUAACUCGAUACUGUAAUCAUGCCUCAUGCUUUGAAGGUGUCAGGUUCUUGGGAUUUUUCUUAAAAAAAUUAUUAAAGCAAUAGUUUUUUUAUAAUUAAAUAAUGCCUUCUUUUUUUCCGACACAGUGAUAUAAAAGAUGUUAUCCUUGAAUUUUCUGUUCAAAGACCGAAAACUAUACGAGAGAGUUGCUACUAAAAAGUAAAAACUAGUAGAGAUUAUUACAUAAAAAGGAAAGCAUUCACAUGACAAAGUAGUUUUGACUUUUGCCGAUGUUGUUUUUCCUUAGCCUGGAGGAGCAGAUAGAACAGCAAUGGAGACAUCCCAUCCUUAAACAGCUCCACCUUCAAUUCUCCUAAUGCCACCUGUAAUCCAACAGAGGCUCCAGGAUUGUACACGAGACAACAAACCCAUCAGUUUUUCCAUUUGAACAUGAGCUGUCCCCUACUGUUUGCUUUGGCAUAACAGUUUGAAAGAAUAACUUGGGGACUGAUUCUUCAAACUUGACGAGCUUGUCUGUGUAUUUCUGCCUUCUCCAGCAAUUAUACCUACGAGUUUUUGAGCAUGCAAAAAACGAGCGUCUUGCCUUUCCUGAUUACUUCUAUUAUUGUUUCUGUCUCUUCAUUUCUACGAUUUAAUGCUUGAUUCGACUUUUCCACGUCUUGUAAAAUUGGACUGUUGGAUUGUAGAGUUUUUCCUAAUUUCCUAAGUCUCGUCUUGAACGCGGCUUUGUUUUAUCUCAUUCAAGACUGCUUCUAGCAGCUCACCAAACACUGCUCCAACAUCAGCUCCACCAAGCAAUUCAGCCGCCAUCACUGUUUCUCUACAGUACAAGGAUUUUUUUUUAAUUAAUUUUUUUAUUUUCAAGAAUCUCAAAUCCUCCCAAUAUUUAUUUUUUCAAGGAUGCAAAGUUGGGCAAAGCAAAAAUAACGAUGGAUGCAUCAUGGUCUCGCAAGGGUUAAAGCUUUCCUAUAUCCUUCUUUUUUUUUUUUUUUUCAUGUUUAAAAACUUUUUAUGUUAUUUUAUCUUAAUAUCAUCCAUGUAUAUUACAUUUUUGUCACAUCAUAUCCUCUCAUUAAUCAUCAAUGGGGACCUAAAUCCUGAAGCUAAGGCCAAUCCCAUCUUUUUUAUUGUUGCAAGGAGCCAUGCUUGAGUGAGUCCUCACAAUCCCCUUUCUUACGCAUAGCCAACUACAUGGAUGCUGGGGCGACUCGUGUCUGCGUUUGCUUAUUGCUCUAAAAUCACGGUUGUGCUUGUUUUUGUUACUUCAACUCAACUCAAAUUCGAAAUUUUUUAACAUAGAGGUAGUUUUUUCUUCCUAUUAUGGAGGACUUCGAAGUUCUUUCCUUGUGAAAGUUGUGCAUCAUUUAGGUUUGAGCUACGAGGGUAGAAGCAACUGACAAAUAUAUGCUGUGCGCAGGGCAGGGAGGCUCACAUGAUGACUUCUUAACUCACCUCACGUUCUGCUAAUGUGCAAUGGUUCAAGAAUGGCCAGUGCUUGAAGUCAGAGGCUUUUAAUAAGGCAAGUGCAGUGCAAUUUAUACCCUAAAAAUGCCCUUGGACCAUUGGCUACCGGAACUGUCAGAUUUUACAAGCCCAGAAAUAAUCAAUGAUGACCUGUAAUUUCUAAAAUUUGGAUAACAAAAGAGGCACAAAAUUGGUGCUACAAUUUCUGAAAAAUUAACCAGUCAUUGAUAGAAUGAAACAAGUAUAAUUAUAUAUUUACUUGGAAAAGGCUAACACCAGAACCCGCUAUAACUUCAUCUACAUAAAUGUAUUCUCCUUUAAUAUACCUUGAAAUCAAGAAGUCAGUGUUAGGGUUUUUCCUUGUUCAAGAAAUUGUUUGAAGCAAGUCCACCUCUGCUUGGUCUGCAUUAAGGGAGAAAAUGUCGACUGGAGCACUGGUGCAGCCAACAACAUUAUUCUUUUUUCCACCAUUGGAGGAACCUUUUUGGUGAUGAAGAUAAAUUACAAUCACAGUGAUAUCAUCAUGAAAAUGCCGCCGCGUUCCCUUUUUUAUUUUCUUUAUGUCAUUAUAUCUCAUCUCUCUUUUCUUUGCAGCCUCCUGAAUAGCAGCUCUCACCAAUCUCUUAGCAAUCCCCUGCAGGUGUCAAAACAGCCCAGAGAAUUGUCAAGCAAGCAACAAAAUUUGGAGAGGCACUAAUAACUCCAGACAAUUGAACAUCCAUGACAUCUAGUUUGUUUGCCAAUGCAUUUGCUUAAAAGUUCAGAUGUCAGGAAUAUCAUAUUUCCAAAACACUGUCCAUGCUCAGCAGAAAUACGGUGCGUUUAGAUGCUAGGGUAGAUGAAACUGAAUUCGCAUUCUCAUGAGCUUGUUUUAUGAAAAAGAAAUUCAAUUUUCAUUCCCAAGGAUCCCAUCAAAACCUAACUUGCCUAACCUCAGAGUAUAAAUUAGGUCCGGGAUUUAAAUAUCAAUAAGAGUUGCAAGAAAAAGUAAAUGAAACAUCUAAGUCAAAGACAGGCACUUACAGCUCUUGGGUUUUUGAAAACAAUCUCUACAGCUGCUUCAUCGGUCAAUUGUUCCCAAAGACCAUCUGAAGCAAAGAUCAGGAACAAGUCUUCUGGCCUCAACUUUCUAAUGAGAAUGGAAGGUUCUGGAUUCAUUACUGGCCGUUUCAAAGGAACAGGGUUCCCAAACUGCUGAAAAAUUGGGUCCCUGUUAAUCUCUGGUUUCUUCAGAUACACAUCACCAAUGGAUCUAGAUACCUGAAAAGGGAAAAAGGAAACAGGGAAGGUUUAUUCCACCUUCUACGACAUGCCUAAGAUAGUAAAUCGGCUCCAAAACUUCAGGGAGUCGAGUAACAAAUGAACACAAUGGUUCAGUUCAUCAACCAGAACAUCACACUAUGAUGUUUCUAGUCUCCGGAUAAGUCAAAUAGAUGGAAAAAAAAAAAAGACUUCCUGUAAUUACACAAGCAUUCUUGUGAGGCCUCAGGGGUUUUCAUUUACCUCUCAUGCAUCAGAAGACAUACUGCUUCACUUGAUUGCAUGAAAUGGUAGACCAGGAGGCAGAGCAUAAGAUUCCUGGAAGGGUAUGAAUGUAACCCCCAGGCCAACUUUAACUAUAGUGUUUCCAUCAUAGACAGAUGCCUAUCAUAAAGCAAAUGCAAAAGAUAAAGAUAAGAGAACCGAACAUAAAAUUGGAUGCCUUCAGAAUUGAUCCAUCUUCAGACCAAUUACUUUAUGUCAAACACACUACAAAAUAGUGUUUUUAAGACAGAGGUUAUCCAAGUAACUCAAAACAAACCUGGCAAGACAUUGAAAGACAAUCAAGAGGAUGAAGAAACAUAUUUGGCUCCUAAAUGAAUGAAUGUAUAAUGCCACAAACAAAAAAUACCCAAUCAGCCGAAUUCUCAUAACUAACAAGCAAAAACAGGAACAAGAAGCCAUUUUACCUGUAUAAUGCCCUUAAUCCUCCAAACUCCACGAGUAUAGACUACAAUAUGUGAAUCAUCAGGAUGAAGUGCCUGAACCUCCUUUCUCACCUCCUCAACAGCAACAUUGUGAUCAGUUGAUAACCUUUCUGCCACUACCUUUUUUUUCUUAUCCUCAUCAACUCCUCGGCCAAGAACUACCCUGGAGUCCCCAAGGUUCGCAACAUAUAACACUUCAUUUGAAAUAGCUCCAACCAAACAACAUGAUCCAGCAGAAGCAAUUUGUGGCUUCCAUGGUAAUGAUCGCUUCACUAAAUGACAAAACUCCUCUUCAGUUGCAUUAAAUGCCUUCCUUAUCACGUCAGCUGAUAACCCCCCUUGCUCUGUAGCAAAUUCUGCAAUCAAAACUAACAUCUUAGAUGGAGAAUGACACAAUUACGAAGAAGUCUGUUGCAUAGAGGCCAGUUUAGUCCACGUCUUAGGCAGCCAAAUUUUUUAUUUGCAUCACAUAUUAUCUAGUUUCUUUUCCAAUCGGCCCACAAAUAAAAACACAAACAAACAAAGCUCCAAUUCAAUAAAGCCAGAAACUUUCAAAGUUUUCUACAGCUUGUCACCCUAACACUAACAUAAGUAAACCCACAAAAGCAAACUCCAGCCUCUCACAUCGAGAUUCAUUCUAUUGAAAUGGAAAAGAUAUUAAUACAUACUAUUGCACUAGCACGAACAAGGGAAAGGUGACCAAAGAAAAGAUAGUAAAAAAUGAAGAAUAAGAUAACGUAUGAUUAAUAAUAAAAAAAAACUCUCUUUCCUUUCUAUAAUUUGUGAUAUGGGUUUUGGGAAUUCAAACUCAAAACACACAAACACUGGACUUGAGUCCUUAACCACAGGACCGAUAGAUUAAGAAAUCAAAACCACAAAUAAAUUCAGGGUUUAAGAUAAUCACCGUGAUCAUGAUCAUUACAAUCAAGAAAACAACUAAUUAAGACAAAAAACAAAACAAACAAAAGAAAAAAAAAAUAAACAAGAGAAGAGAGAGAGAGAGAGAGAGAGAGAAUUCUCACUAUUCAUGUAAGGAAACAAAUGUUUAUUGACAAAUCGGGAAGCUUCAGGACCGCCAUGACCAUCAUAAACACCAACAUAAGUAGCGGAGGAGGACGUAAGGACCUGACUUUGAUCUUCUAAAUUAGAAUUAGCUUGAACAACCGCAAUUGAAUAAUCACCAGACGCAUGUUGUUUUAAAUCAGCAUGCCACAUCAAUCCAUCACGGCCACCACCGCCUGCUACCCGACCAAAACACCUCUCUAAUGGUCUGUACCACGAUCUCAACAUCAUCUGCCUUAACAACUUCGAAUGCUCCCGUUCUCGUUGUUCUUUGUUUCUAUGGUUCUAGAAUUUUGUGGUGGUGUCUUUUUUGCUUUUCCCUUAUUGGGUUUCUCUGUUUCUGUGGAAAUAAAUAUAUUGCCCUUUUUUUUCAUUCAAAAAGAAAAGAGAUACCGCGUGAAGACGAAGAUUGAAUGACAGGAAGCUUUUCGGUUUUUGCUUUCAGUGUACACUCCACGUUAACGCUCUUUCUCUAUCUGUUACACUAUUAAAUUAGCAACUUCCAGUUCUUUUCGAGUGUGUAUAUAUAUAUAUAUAUGUAUUGACUUUUUUUAACUUUCUUGUUGCUUUACAAUUUUUUUAAAAUGUUUUUUUUUUAUGGUUAUUUUUCUUUUUUUUGUUCUAGCAGACUUUGAUCCUUGGAGUCUACAAAAUCAAGCUUAUUUAAUUUAUUGUUUGGUUGUAAUAGGAAAUUAGAAAUGUUCGUUUUUACUGACUUUCAACGUAGAAUUUGACCAUGACCACAAAAAUUAUUAUACAAAAAAACCCUACAUCUUGGACCCGUAUCUGUGACUAUGGAUUAGAGUUGGAUAUGACCAAGAAAUUUAGAUUAGGGUUAGCAUCAAAUUUCUUGGAAGGAUCUCUUCUUCUUCUUCUUGUCGUAUUUCUUUUAUAUUAAUAUAAUUUAAAAGACACAUCUACAGAUGAUUAUUCCAAGAUUUACACUUAAAAAUUAAGAAAUGAAGCAAAUACUAAUUUUAACUAGACCGAGACUCUCAAGUAUUCAUCCACAAAAGAAAUUACUAGAUUGAUAUAUUGAUCUCCAUAUAUCAACAAACUCAACGAAAGUAAUUAAUUAGGAGUGGUGUCCUGUACUUCAUAUAUAAUACUUGUAUAUACAGACGAAGCUCAACAACAAAAGGUGCUUGAAUGUAAAGAGAGGAAGAGAGAGAGAGAGCUCUUUAAUAAUGGUUAUUUAGAUUUUUCAUGUCGUUGGCAUAAAUUUCUUUCUCCAUGACUUUAUUAUUAUUAUUUUAAUUUGAAUUUAAGAAAAGGGGAUGGAACCUAUAUAAAAAAUUAAAGUUUGAGAGUGUGGUAUGUAGUAGUUAUUUUUUAAUAUUUUAUUGUUUGAAAAUAUAGUGGAAUGAUAUUUUUUUUAUUUUUUAAAGAAUAUUUUAUAUAUUAAAAUAUCAAAAUAAUUUAAAAAUAUAAAAAAAUCAAAACAAUUUUCGGGUAAAUUACACUCGUUUGAAGUCUUGAAUGCAAAUAUUGACUCUAUUUCUACCACUAUAAUUGAAUGUUUCAAGUAACAAAAGUCAAGAGUGAUUCCAUGUCGUGAAAGACAAAUUGUUCAAAUCACAAAUAAUAAAGUCCAAAUUUACUUCCAACCAAAUUAAAGUAUUGUCUGGCUUUAAUUACUUGCUGGACAUUCUUGUACGCAAGCAAUUAUACCCUUCCAUUUACUUCCAGGCUCCUCCUAGUUACUUCCAUGUGAUCGAUGCUGCAAAUGCAAGCAACUAUUAAUGGUGUCUCUGUUUUCCAAUGACAGAAUUAAGAUGACAGAUAAUGUGACAUAAAAAAAAACACUUGUAGCCUCGUAGUUAGAGGAGAGUGCUUGCCAUUUAUUGUGCGGAAAAAAUGAGAUCAGAUGUGAAUGCUGAAUCAGAGAGUUAAGGCUUUUAAUGAGUAAUUGGGUAGGUAGCCAGAGAAUUUUCAUUUGGAUACAGUUCCUGCUCACUGUUUUCCUGCGCGUAGUUUUUCAGAAAACAUCAAAAUCUGGUUUCCGAUGCUUCAAAAACUAGCCUUCUUGGCAAAUCUUGUAGAUUCCAAUUUGGUUUUUCUUUGUAGUUCUUUGAUUAAUUUGUCAGAAAUUACUCCUGGUUGAUCAUUAUUCAUGUAUCAUUCCAGUACACAUUUUUGCAGUCCCUAGCAGGACCCGUCAUCACCGUUCUCAAUGUCCUUUCUUUUUGUCAUAUAUUUCAUAAGAAAGUGUAAACUUUUGGUUAAUUCUUUUCAAUGGAUACUAACCAGACAAAAAAUGCCCAAGUUUCAGUUUAGCAAAUAGAGAAAAUAAUUAGCCAAGCUAGGAGAGAAAAGAAUAGUGCAAAGCGUGCUUAAACUUGAAUAGAAGAGAAAUUUUGAGCUAAUACAAACAUAUUGUUCAAUUCAUUUGCACAUCAUCAAUCCAUUACACUUAGAUUCUUGAAUUCAUCCCAGCUAGUUGCAGAGCUUAAAAUCUCAUCCAUCUCUGGAACCAAGCUCUUCUCUGUCAUCUUCUCCUCAUGCUGUGUGUAAGCAUUUGUAGAAUGAUCAUCUCCCAUCAAGAACAUACUUGAUAAGUUUUUUUUUUUUUUACCCAAAAAAUGCUCAAGCAAACGAGCAUGUUAUCAUUGAGUCACUUUAGGUGAGGGUAAAACAAUGAGAUUAGGAUUGUGAGAUUUGAAUUCCAUAGAUUAGUUACUGCUACCUUUUCAUUUUUGAUCAAAGGUUGUGGUUCUCAUAUCAUGUUAAAAAUGAGAAAAGUUGUUAAAUAAGUUCCGAGACAUAAUUUUAAUUUUAUAUUAUUCUUUAUUAACAAGCAUGCAUGUUCAUUGUCAUGGUUAGUCUUGGAAGUACUUUCUUUCCCCCUUUUGUUUAGUGAUCCAGUACAAGUUUAAUAAGUUAGGAACAGUGUCUAGUUCCAGAUCCAUACAGAAACUUCUGAUUGAUCAGGAAAAAUAGAAAAUGAGCAGAGCAGAAGCUCAAGGUAAAAGUGAAAUCCAUACACAGUCUAAACAAAAGAACAAUCUGCAAUAUAAGAGUAGUGCGGAGAACUUGUAGUUGCUUUGCGUGAAGCCUUGAAGCAAAUCCAUGAUGUAUUAAAAACAGAUUCAGCUUUUUCUCCAUGGAAUCCAGCAAAAAGUUGGAGGGCUUUUGUAUGGCAAGAAGUUCUGCCUCAUUGAAGUCCUUGUUUCCAUUGAGAUGAAAUCACAGCAUUGAGAAUCUCUUAGUCCUUGCUUCCAUUGAGAUGAAAUCACAGCAUUUUCAACUAGGGGAAGGCCAUGAAGAAACAGUUUCGCGAUUAACAGAAUUAGACCUGUUGCUGAGUGCAUGAGGUCCUCAGUCAAGUAAGGAAAUCCAUAAAAUGCAGAUUUAAAUCAAAUGCCUAACCACAGGAAAAUGAUUUAAAUAAAAUACCGAAAAAAAAUCUAAUGUCUUGGCCAAAGCAUUGGAAUUACCUACACUAAUCAAUUGACAACAACCUCAAAAGCCUAAUUUUUCUUACCCUCUACUUCUUAGUGUGAAAAACUAAAUUGAACACCCAACUGUUUUGAUUUGAUCAUGUUCUGAUCACUCUUAUAAUGGAUUCUGUAGUCAGGUUAUCAUAAUUUUCGAGGCAAAUUAUAUUCAAGAGGGAUUUUGAAAACAAAUUAACCUGUGCUUUAGAGAUAUGCAUGGAAUGUGAAUUUUCAGAAGUUGACAAGCAGUUGAAGGCGAUUUCUAGGAGCAACUGUAAACCAAGUUUUAUUCAGUUUGUAUGUUAAUAUACAUCAUUCUUAUACGAGUAAAUUGUCAUACAAAUCUCCAGAAAUGGUUGAUUUCAAAACAUUAUCUGGCCCAAUUGACCUCAUCAAAUCUUCUAGAGUUGGAACCACAUCUCUCUCCAGCAAAGCUGCCAAUGAAUCAUUCGAAAACCCAUUAACCAUUGUCACCCUAUUCAAGCUCCUUGCUGGGAAAUUCAAGAUACCAGUUUCACCUCUUAGAUUCCAAAAUACAAUCUCUGGCAAUGUUGUACAGUCUCUCCUUCUCCUAUAACUCCCCCACAUGCCCCACAAGCAAGCAGAUACCUGCUGUAAUCCCAUGUCAGUGAAAACAAAUAUCUUUUGUGGCAUUUUCUCUUGGCUAAUCUUCUCCGCAAGAGCAAAUUCGAAUAUUUGAUCAAGCACCCUCUUAAUAUUUUCAACCUUACUAUAGUCCAGUUGCCUCAUGAACUCAAUCUUGGCUGGAAGAUUACUUCCUUCAAUCAUGCGAAUCUUAGGAUCAUCACCAAAAGAUACAAUCUUGCCCUUCCAUGGUUCUUCACUGAGUUCUGAAACUAACAACCCCAUCGAUACACAAAUAUCCUUCUGCAUUUUGUUCAUGUCCCUUGAUAUCCCAUAAACUGCCAAACAAUUCUUCAAGCUCCCUUUCUUUUUCAAGUAGUUAACAAGGCUUUCCCAUUUAGACUCUGCGACCAUGCUGCUACUUUUAUCCCUCAAAGAAGCUACAAUUUCAUGAGGAAGCAAAAACUUUUUUUUCUUCGUUGUUCUUGCUGCAAUAUCCACGUAAACGUUAAACCUUUUAUUGUAAUCCGCGGUCCAAAGCCCUGAAUACAUUUUCUUCACAGUGGUUGACACAAUAGGCCUAAUAGGCCUCUGUGUGAUUGGAUCACACCUUGUUCUCCUCACAAGGGCUUUACGAAGAGGAACAAGAACUUCUUUCAUCAAGCGAUUUCGAACCCUAUAAACAUAGUGAGCAUUUUCAAUAUCAAAGUACCCGGGGUCUGAAUCGAAAGGGAAAACUGCCUUUGCAAUGCUUUCACAGAUCUGAGUUCUCCUAUCAUAGAAACUAUUGACAGAAGGACACCAUUUUGCAGCCAAACUAAUCUUUUCAACCUCACCCAAGUUCAAGAAUUCGAUAUCAGACUUCAGCAAAUCUGCAUAAAUAUCUGCAACACAAUUGUGCAAGAAAUGAUAUGCUGAAACAUUUCGGUGAAAAAAGACUGCACAUUCAGCCCAAAACAUGUCUUUCUCCCUCCUCAGAACCCUCGUUUCCUCCUUCUCCAUCUCUUCAUUCUCGAUCUGAUCCAUUUUCACAUUCUCUCCUUGAUCCAACAUUCUGCUUUGACAGUAACCUCCAUUUACCAUCUCAAACACCAAGAUUCGAUACAAAAUUUCUGGAAGAUCUUUCAAGUACCCAAAACUUGCCAAGGCUGCAAGAUUUGAUGCAAGAACAUAAUGUUGGUACUUAUGAAGCCAAAGAACCGAGUUAAAGAACGCGUAUUUAUUAGGUUUUCCCUUUAUGGUGGCUAAUCCAAGAUAGCAAAUGAGCUUGAGAGUGGUAUUUGGGUCUUCUUUCCAGGCACGUUCUAACCAGCGAAAUAGAGUUUCAGGGGGUGUACUGGGAGUGAUUUUGAAGAAGAGAAACUGGCAAGGGGUUAAGGUAGGAAUCUCCAUCUGAGGGUACCAUACAGGAGCUUUUGUUUGUGGUUUUUGAGUUCUUGCGGUGGUGGUGAGUGGGGCACGGCGGUAAAUCUCUGGUGGGCCAAUGAGAAAGGAAGGAGAAGGAGCCAUGGUAGUGAGGGUUUUAGAGUCUUGAAAAUUGUUUGUUUGUGGUGGUGCCUCCUGGUGCUAUGAGGCGGGAGAAGAAUCAAGAAGAAAGGCAACGAGAUUUUUUUUAUAGUUUCUACUAUACUUGGGUCGGCACUUAUAAUCAGCUGUAACUGAUAACCUGUAAAAUAGGUUUAUUCGUAGGGGAAAUAAAUUCCCACUGGCCCUUGAACUCUGUAACAUCACGUCCAAACUUUCUAGGGAAUGGCCAUGUCAAGUUCAGAUACUGUAAAUCUUGGCCUCUUUGAAAGUUUCAACCAAAUUGCUUUUCAGUUCAUUUGCUUCCUCAAUUUUAUCAGAAUUCAUAUAUCUUGAUAUGGGAAAGGGGAGACGAAAGCACAUUUGAUUCUUCAGACCUGUGUUGUCAAGCUAAUAGUAAAACAACAUGUCAAGGAAUCAAUUUCUCCCUCCCCCUUCCUCUUUGCUGGAAGUAAAGAAUUCCUGUUCUACGAACUCCGCUGCGUUUUAUUCUUACAUAAAAUCAAAUCAAAUUCCAAAAUUCUUCAGUUGGAUCAAUGACCAUGAACAAACAUAAAAUGGUCAGUUGGGUACCUAGAACUUCAAAACCAUACCAGACAAAUACCAACUUGCUUGGAAAAAUGUUGAGGCAUUCAGAUUUGUUCAUUAAUUCUUUUCAGUUUCUUUGUUUUCUUAAGAGUUCUCUAUAUGCUUGGUCAUAUAUAGUCACUCUUAAACGUGCUUCAGUCCAUGGCAGGCCUGAGCAUUAGAAAAUGCACGUACUCUCACUCUAUGUUCAUAUGUCUACUUUGUUUAAUUUUGGAUAAUGGAAGAAUUUCGUAUAAAUCAAACAUUUACGUGGAGCAUACCUGCUACACCAGUAUUUUCCUGCUAUGAUAUUUACAAAAGACACAAGAAAGAAAACAUGGUGUCAGAGCACCAAUCCAUUUGAUCUAACAAGCAAAUCAAGAUCUGAGAAGACCCCAGUUCUUGAAAAUACCAGCAAACUCUGGCUUACGCAGAGCUUCUAUGUUUAGGUUUCAGCUCAUCUCUUAAAUAGGCAAAGAAUUGUCAUGUAUUUUUGAGAAAGCAAGCUCAAGACUCUUACCAUCCCAUUAAACACGCAAUGGCCUCUAAAUAUUAUUUAUUAAAAAAACGUAAGGAAAAACUAUCAUUAAAGCAUCUGAUGUCAUAUCCAAUUACCGGUUAAGGAUCAAAGCAUCAGAUGCACUGACAAUAAGUUUUUAAGGACCUUUUCUCUCUUUAUUUUUUAGCGUGAAAACUGCAAUUCUAGCACGAGACAUAUCUUUCUCCCUCCUCGUAACCCUCCUCUUCUCUUUUUCCAUCUCAAUCUCAGCACCCCGGCUCUCACUUUUCACACUGGAUUCUUGAAACAAGGGGUCUUCACUGUUGUAACCUGUAAGUUCCAUCUCUAACUUCAAGUCAGGAAGAUCUUUUAGGUACCCAGAACUAGCAAGGGCUGCAAGAAUACGUAACUCGAGAAAUUAAAGAUCUUUCUUAUGAAACCAAAGAAGUGAAGUGGAGAAUGCAUCUUUAUUAGGAUUGGCAUUGAUGGUGGCUAACCCAAGAUGGCAAAUGAGCUUGAGAGUGGUAUUUGGAUCGUCAUUUCAGGCACGUUCUAACGACAGAGUUAAAUUUUCAGGGGUUAUUUUGGGAGUGAUUUUGAGGAAGAUGUAUUGACAAGGGGUGAGAGAGGGAAUGUCAAUCUGUGGGUACAUACAGGGGAUUGAGUUGGUGGUUUCAACGACAUCAGUGAUUUUUCUUUGGAGGUGGCGAUGGCGGUGGUUAUGUUGGUAGGUGGGGUGAGGUGGAUCUGUUGUGGGUCAAGGAGGAAGGAAGAGCAAGCCAUUUCAAUGCCGAAGAAGGUAUCAAGCCACAGUGGUGCUGCCUGGUAGUGGCAGUUGAAGUUGAAAGGCAUUAAGGUGCUUUUAUAUUGAGCAUUUGCAUGGGGACCAAGGACUUGGAAUUGCCAAAAAAGUCUAAAAUUAUCAAGGCCAGCAUUAGCUUUUGGUAAUCAAUGGCCUAAAAAUUAGGUUUGGCAAAUCAGUACAAUUGGGCCUUGAACUAUGUAACAGAAAGAUGAAAAAGCAUUAGCGAUUAGAUUACCUUUCUGGGAAAUUAUAAAAAUGAAACAUGCCGAAUUAUAUUAUAAUCUUUCAUUGAAGGAGGCUAGAAAGUGAAGAAGAAACGAACAUCUUCGCUGUCCACUCCAGAUGCUAUGCUGUGUCCUCAAAUUAAUAAUAAAACAUGGCAAAGCUUCAGUAACGUCUCUCUUCCAUUCCCCUUUGCUAAAAGUAACAUGAUGAAUUAUAUCCAAUUCAGCUGGGCCAGAUUUGAUUGGUCCGGAAAUUCAAAUUACUUCACAAAGUUAUUGCAGUCGAAUUCAUGAUAAUGAAAUAGACCGAUUCCAAAUGAAUGAUGAUAGAUCACUUUUGCCCUUUUUUCUUCGUUUUGUAAUAAAAUGAAAAGUCUUCGCAACAGGUCUUGUGUAUCCUUCUCAUUAUACCUACCUUUAAGACAAGGAGGAAAAACUAUACACGAGAGUAUUGGAAAAAUAAAAAUGACAGCGAAUUGAAAAUUUGAAAUCAAGGAGUAUUACUCAGCAUCUGGUAUAAACGGAACUCCAAACAGAUAAUAUUAAGUGGGGAUUAAGGACUCUAGGCUGAGAUAAUUUCGUGUUUUACAACAAAACCAAGUAUGACAUGAACCACACGAAACCAAACAACGACGAAACAACAUUAAUGAAAUUCGGUCAAGAUAUAAACUUUGAACUAGGAGUCUACAAUGUAAGAGAAGCCGCAGCUGAAGAAACAUAAAACCUUCUCAGAAGGACUUCAUGUUCAUUCUCAGUCAUUAGUUACAACUACAUCUCUUCGACAAUAUGGGCAGUCACCGCAUGUCCGGACCCAAGGAUCCAAGCAAGCAGAGUGGAAUCUAUGCUCACAUGGCAACCGAAUAAGUUCAUCUCCUUCUGUGAAACUCUCGAGACAUAUACUACAAUCCCAUGACACCUGAGAUACACCCCCUUCGAUACCCUUCUCUAUGCUGCUAAAUACCUCUGAUUGUAAACAGUGAAGGGCAUCUUGGGUUAGACCAGGUGGUUUCUUCUUGUGUGAUUCCUGCACGGUGUGAAGUCUUUCUGUUUGAAGGGUUGAGUCAUCGGAAGAGGAACCUCCAGCAAACAACCCUGUAGAAAUGUCAGCUCCCCAGUCCCCUGCAUCAACAACCCUCAAUUCAUCGCCAAGCGUAUACUCCCUGUUAUAGAUGCCAAGAGAAGCCCGACCACUUUGCCUGAAUGAAGCCAAAAUAAACAGGUCCGUAGCUUAAGUAAUUCCAUGACCAAUGCUUCAGAGAUAACAAAACAUGCUUGCAUUAGCAAAGAAAACUGUGUCAUUGUGUUUCUCAUGAAUAUGGCCUAGAUCUACAUUCUUAUGGUAACAUAUGAGAGAUAGUGCCGGCAUCUCCAAGCAAUAAUAAGACAAGCAGUUAUGAUAGUAGUGGGGGGCAUAAGAAAUGGGACCAAAAGCAGCAGCCAUAACUAUCAAGAUUUUAACAGCACAGACAUAUGAUGGAAUAGCAUGAACAUGUGACAAAUGCCAAAGGUUACCAUCAUUAAUAUUGAUGGCUGCCAAUUUGUGAUGGGUCCAAGUACCACGAUGUAUGCAUAACUCUGUGCAUUAUACAGGGAAUUCAACAGGGUAUCUAAAUCACCUGUUUCCAGAAAGUGAAACUCCUCUUAACCUUUCGAGAAGCCUUGCCCUUGCAAGUACCACAGCUCCAGGAAGUCUGUCAUUUACAGUCACUCUUGGCCGGCUUGUGCUGCUUAGAGUUUCAGUGCUGUUAUUGUUGCUUGGUACAAAUUGACUGGUACCUUGAUCAUGUCGAGAUGAGGCACGUUCCUGUGCAAGCCAAAUGCAAUACAACAAUGAGCGGGGCAUAAAAAAGAUCAUAAAGUGGCAUUGCAAAACUGAGAGUUGGUAUAUAACAAUUGUAAUAAUGCAAAAAAAAAAAAAUGCCCUAUGGUUCACCAAACAAGUGAAGAACAUAAAGUUCAAUUGAGAAACCAGACACAAUUGAGCAAACAAAACAAACAGCAGGAAAUAUUGGCGAAAGAGUACACAUACAAAUUACACACCUUUAUCAAUCCAAUUGAUUUUAAUAUUAGGUGCGCAUAUUUGAGACUAGAUAAGAAUACGCAAACGUUAGCCAAAUGGAAUGGCUCAAUGUCUAGGUGCAGCUCAACAACAUACAAAAUACACACCUUUAUCGGUUCAUAAUUAAGAUAUCUAACCGAAUGCUUCUCAUUCGGCAGAUUACGAGUUAAGCAUAAAACGUUGGAAAACCAUGAAACUACCAAAAACUCAAUCUUUCAAAAGAUGCUGUCUAGCUAGCUAGCUAGUAAUUACAAUAUAUACGCGAGCUGUUUCACGGAAUCUUACCUUCUUAUUUAUAUUAAAAUCACCUCAUUCCUCAAUUAAAGCCAAUGAUAUAAUUGAUUUCCUAAUUUGGCCUAAAAUUUAUGUGAUUUCCAUAACAGAUUUCGAUGAAUCCAGAAGACCGUCAGUAAAUUUAUUCUCUAGUGAAUACAAAUCAAAAGAAACUUCAACUUAAAUAUCCACUUAAAACAAAUUUACCAGUUUUUUGUAGCUUCCUAUAGUAAAUUUUUUUGCUUAUUGCAUUAUUUACGACCGCUAAAGAAAUAUUACAAUUUUAAAUCAAUUAAUUGAAGCAAUAAAACAAUUGAAGAUAUAGUUUUUGAACACUCAAAUUCCAAUAUAUUCAAGUUUCUUACAGAGAGAAACGAUAAGCGCUGGCAGGGGUGCCGCACGUGAGGAGAUCUGCGAAGAGGAUCACAGCCGUCUAAAUCAUGACGGUGAUUAUGAUUAUUGUGAUGGCGGCGAUUGUAAUUUUGGUAAAAAAUACGGUCAGAAACAGAAGGUUCGAGCCCUAGAUCGGUAUUGGCUCGGCUCACUCGCGACCUUCUUUGAUAAAACAACUCCGAUGCGCUCGUCAUGCACCACGGAACUCACGAUCCGGUUUAUUUGUUGCCACAAAAUUGCAGCGUAAGAAGAAAAGAAAAGAUAAUAAAAAAUGGAGAUGAAGUCAGGUGAAAUUUUUAGCGAGGUUUCAAAGAAAUAAUGAAAGUUCGAGAACUGGAGAGAGAAUUCAAAAGGAAGAGAGGAGGAGGGUUCGCUGAAACGCGGCAGGUGUUUGUCUUGACGAGUUAGAGGGUUUGGAAGUUUGCUUGCUUCGAAGAAAUGCAGAUUGUAGUGCAGAGCCGCAAUCAGGAGAUAAAACGACUGUGAAAUUGGUUUUUUAGUUUUUUUAUAUAUAUAUAUAGAAUUCUAGGGUGUGAUAUUAUUUUUUAAUAUAUUAAAAAUUAUUUAGAUUGAAAACUUACAUGGAUAAGUAGAUUUUAACCUAUUAAUAUUUUAUUAACAAGAUUUGAAUAUUAUAUUAAAAAAAUAGAAAUUUUAAGAGGUUGAGGUUGCGAGAUUGCGGUGUCUUAGAGAUACUAAUAAAAUUUUGAAGAUUGGUGACUCAUUCGUCAGUUUCUAAAUUGGUCAGGGACUGAUUUGUAGUUUCCCUUGAAACUUUUCAUUUUCUUUGUUAUCUGAUGGAGACUUGAAAUGAAGGAUUUCGAUUUGAGACAAGGUAUGGGGUUCUAGUCUUCUAGAAGCGAGUAAUUUGAGAAAGGGUUGGCUUGCCUCAAAGAAUUGCUAGGCCCAAGAAAUUUUAAUAUUAUCCACGCAUGCUUUUGUCGGCAGUUGCCACUGUUGACUACAGCAUCAGCAACAUUCGCAUACUCAGUGCUAAGGAUUUCUUUCCCUGCACUGUGAACAGCUAUAGCCCUGUGAGUAAUCAUGAAGUAUGAUGCUGCAGAAUCAUCCAUUGAUUAAUGUGAAUAUUGCAUGAGUAGCAACAACAGAACCAUCCCGGAAAAGGAAACGGACUGCGUAAAUUUCUUGAACUUGUGUUAUUAAUUGCUUGCAUAUGUAGGCAGGUAAUUAUAUUCUACGGUUCAGGGCCACAACAACUUUAAUCAUUUAUUUCCUAAGUUUUCAUCUCGAUCGUGGUUAGCUUGAAACUGGAACGAAGCCUUGUUAGCCAACUCAAUAAGGAUUGGUAAACAAGCAAGGAUCAUGGGGUGUGUCAGGGUCUGGUUUCUCAACACCAUCAACAUUCCUUAGCCAAUAAGUCUGAUUUAAUGAAGCUGCUUUCUCCGGUACACCGUCCAUCACCCCCUCGUGGCCUUUUGGGACAUAAAUCCCUGUGCGAGGAUGAGGUGCCCAGUCCUCCGUCUUGCUUUCUUUGAUUGAGCUUUUCCUUGGUUUUUCUGGCCGAUACACUGAUGGAGGACUGCUAAAAUGGCACCGGAGUGCUGGCCUGGUUUUCCUGCACGAGCUGUCAAACCUCGAAUCAAUAUCAGGGCCAAAUUAGCAAACACAAAAACAUAUCCACUGCUAACUGACACAAAUCACUAGCUAGAAAUGCAAGAAUUAAAGCUCAUUUGCAAAAUAAUACUGACUGCGCGUUUAGUAAAACUCUAGUUAACUUCAGGUCAAAGGAGAACCCCCGAUCGAUCAAAAGUAAUUGUUAUAGGAAGCUGAUAACAUUACCUAAGCAUUAGCAUCUUUGUUUUUGAAAUCAUAGUUCUAGCAAGCCGCGUGACUGAUGACAAGGUACAGAAGCUUAUUAUAACUAGGUUGUUAUAGCUAGUGCUGCGAGGCUCUAGGUUAAGGGUAUGAAGGUUUGAAGGUUCUUUAUAUAAUAGUGAUGCUACGCAACCAUCGAAAGUGAUGGAAUGUCACCAUGGAAACAUAAGUAGAUAUAAUCUUAGUGGUGUUCUAUCAAAAUAUAUGGAGGAAUAAGUUCUUUCUGUACACAUGUUAGUGAAGGGCGACCAUUGGCACACCUUCGAAAAGCAAAGGUGCAUGGAACCAAAAAAAAAAAAAAAAAACAUGUCUCCUCUUGAGAAAAAAAAAUAGGGGUGCGUGAUGCAAAUCUGUGGCUCUAAAAUCAUCACUGUUCAUGGUUGCUUAAAUAAAUGGUGGAUGGGUAUCAAGCGGGUGUGAUUGUGAUAUAAUAAUUCUCAACUUCAAAAUCUUAUUUUAGCAAUUUGGAGUGUAUGGAUUUUUCUUAAAGAGCAAAGCAUCAGCGACCUGUCAAACACGGCAUGGGAUGAUUAGAAAACAGAAAUGGAUAUAUUGGGAUAUCACUCAGAAUUUGAUCGAGGAGCAAUAUCCCUAUUAUGCUGCGAUCAAGGAGAUAUUUAUUAAAAAAACAUGAGAAUAUAUUUCAAGUUGGCAUAACUAAAGAAUACUAGUAUAAUGUAAGCGCUUUGCAAUAGAUUAAUAUUAUUUUAAAAAAAUAUUUAGCAAUUAUGUUAUAUUCGAGCAUUUGGUGUCUUAGCAACCAUGAAACUGGGGUCCAACCAUUGUGUCAGACUCAAUUAUAUAUUUUAAUUGUCAAAAAAUAAAAUUUACAAAUAAUCCAUCACACACACAACACCACGUAGAAGAUAGUAUGAUUGCACAUUCAGUGAGAAUAACAAAUAACUAAAUUUGACCAUCAGAAAACAUCACAUACUCCUCUUUAAUAAUACAUACACCACUACUUGUUGGGAAAAAAAAAUCAAAGAAAUAUCUCUCCAAAAUAUAAAAAGUUAAAUAUAAAAUUAUUAUUAUAAUUUACAAUACAAAUAUUUUUUAAUGUGUAGUGAUUCGAUACCAUUUAAUUUUUGUUAUAAUAUUACAAAUAUAUCAAUUGAAUAUAUAUAUUUUAUAUCUAGAUUAUAAGAAAAGCCUGACAAGUAUAUUUUGGAUCAAUUGCGACCCCCUUUUCUUCUUUUUUUCAAGAUUUCGAUUGAUUUUAUGUUAUUGGGGCUUGUGCUACUAAUUAAACUGUGUUACGCCCAACAAUAUGUUAUUUUAUCUUCAAACACAAUAUCUGUAAAUAAAAAGUGAAUAACAAAAAAAUCAAACUGACCUUUUAGAUCUCAGAUCUGGAUUUGUUAUCUUACGCGAGUACAUAUCUGCACCAAGACAAACCUCGCGACAAGUUGUAUAAGUCAAUUCUAUAUUCUUUGAGUGUGUUUGAUAUUGCAGUAUUAUGAUUAUAAUUUGAUAAAAAAUAUUUUAUAAAAAGUAUUUUUAGUUAAGGUUGGUUUUAAAAAAUAAGUGUUUGGUUAAAAUUAUGAUUAAAAUUAAGGUUGAAAAAAAAAAGUUUAAUGUGUUUGGUUAAAAAUGUUUCUAAAAUUGAGAUUAUAAAAUAAUUUUAAAAAAUACAUAUUAAUAUUGAUGAUUUUUAAUUAAAAUAUUGUGGAUUUAACUAUUACUAUUACAUCAUAAAAUAAAUUAUUUUUUAUAUAAAAUAUUUUUUAGUAUUCCAUGAAACCAUCUAUAAUUCCAUUACAUACGAAAUACAUAUAACAAGAACUAUAGUUUCCAUAAUUUUUUUAGCGUGUGAUAAAAUUAGAUAAAAUAUUAUCAAGUAUAAAAUUCACUAUAAACUAGUUUUAAAAAAAAAUUAAAAAAAUUAAUAUAGUAAAAAAUAUAAAAAAAAUGUUCACACAGUACAAAUGAACAGUGUAUCAUUAUGCACUGUUCAUGUUAACAGUGCAAUUAACAUGAAUAGUGCAUAGGAAAAGCAAGGAAUCCUUGUUUUUAUUUUACUGCAGUUUCAACGCAUAAAAAACAUGAGAUCCAGUGAACAACAUAUCACUUUUUUCCUUAACUAAAUAGCUGUAAACUGUAUUUUAAUUAAAACAUAAUUUCAAACCGGUUUUUUGUGCUGAAACAUAAUUUAUAAAUAAAUAAACUCAAAACUAUCCAUAGAAAUUUAUAUCUUUUAACUGGCUAAUAAAAACAUGAGACAUUUUAAAUACAAGAUCUUAAUUGAUAAAUUAAAAAAAAAACUUGAUAAUUUAAGAUUAUGAAGAAGAAAAAGGAGAAACUAUACGAAUGACUCAUAGAAUACUAAUUUUUGGAUUAUUUUUUUUUCACAAGGGGAGAGUAUAACUUUAUAAAGUGACGAUAAAAACAAAGAAAUAUUUUUUAUUAAUAAAAAGAAAAGAGAGAAUAUAAAAAGUCAUUACAUUAAGUGAUCAAGAUAAAAUAUUAAUUUUAAUAAUAAUAAUUUUUUAAAAUUUAUUAUUAACAAAUAAAAACAAUUUGAAAAUAUAAGAAUAAUAAAUUUUAAAUGAAUAAAAAAAUAAAGUUUAAAAACAAAAAUAAAUAAAUUGGAUAUCAUUUUCACACAACUAUGGCCAUGUGGGCCAUGACUGAACAAGUUUGGAUAAUCGAGGAGCAAAUCAAAUUCAAAGAAAACCAAAAAUCCAACGUUGAACUUCACUUGCACUAAGGGACUGUUUGGUAGUGUGGUUGUACCUGUGUUUUGUUUAAAUUUGAAUUUUUUAUUUUAUUUUUUUGCUAAAAUGGAGUUCAGUUUAUAUUUUUUGGAUCGUUUUGAUGUGCUGAUAUCAAAAAUGAUUUUUAAAAAAUAAAAAAACAUCAUUAACAUGUAUUUCAACAUAAAAAGUUAUUUGAAAAGCAACCGCUACCACACUACCAAACUAUUUGUGUUGCCUACGUUUCCCAUUGCGUGUUUAAUUAAAUUUUAUUUCCUGCAGUAACCACCUGUUUCCCGCCCCCGUGACGUCAAAGCCAAGGAAAGAAAAAAAAACCCCUCCUUUCCCGCCAUCAACGCGCAAAAAACAAAAACACACAAUCAAUCCCAAAAAUCACUUUUAUUUUAUUUAUCACAUGUUUAAUUAAAUUUAAUUUAUAAAUAAAUUUGAAAUUAAUUAAUAAUUUAUUAUUUUUUUUAUAUUUAAAAUAAAAUACUAAAAAAUAUUUUUAUUUAAUUUUAUAUAAAAUAUAAAUAAAUAUUUUUCAUAUUAAUUAUCUACUGAAAAGACUUAAAAAUAAAAUUUGUUAAAAAAUAUUCAACCAUCAUCCACACACAUUACCAAAAAAAAAAACCAUUAAUUAUGAGCAAAAUUAAAAAACUACAACAAAAAAACAAACAAUAAUAUUUAAACAAGAAUUGAUGCAAAUAAAAGUUUUUCAAAGAAACAAUAAUAUCUUACUUUUGCAUUUUUUUAUAUAUUAAAUUCGGAAUUUAAAUUAAUAUUCUUAAUAAAUUCUGAAUACAAAAAUUCAUGGAACUCUUUCAAUUAUUCCAGAAAAAAACUGUUUCAUUUUUCAAGAUCGACGGAACACAACCCAAAACAACAAGACUCAUAAAUGAAAAUCAAAACGAAACGAUCAAAAAGAAAACUGGGGCUACCAGCUGCAAUUAUUCUUUGUUCUUUGUUCUUUCUUGCCGGUUUCUACAGUUCCAUUUUCUUCCCCCACGUAAGUGCCUCUCUCUCUGCGUGCGUUGAUUUUGUACUUUAAUUAAUUACUCUGAUUAGAGGGUGAUUAUUGUUUAGUUAUGGUUUUUCAGGAUGUACCUGUUACUAGACCGAGGUUAAGAAUGUUUGAAGUAGCUGAAGGGGAUCAUGAUACGAUGCCGCAUGGGCUUACUGGAGAAGCUUCUGUUGAAUCCAUUCCUUUUCAGGUAAUUCAAGUUUGAAAAGUUUUUGGGUUAGUGUUAGAUUGGUGAUUUAUUGGAGAGUUGGACUUAAAAUCAAGUUAGGUUAUUGGAGUUUGAUGUGAGAUAGAUUUGUGGUAGUUUUCACUGGAUCAUAGUUUUUUGGUAAAUUAUUUAGAAGUCUUAGCUUGAUUAAUUCCCAUAAAGGAAAUUAAUUUUAGUUUUGUUUAUUGAAAUGAUGGCAAAUAAGAUUAUUAAAAUGAAAAUAUCGAACUGUGGAAAGAUUUAUGGCUCUUUGGAGAUCGUGUUGGUGGGUAAGAAAUAAAACAGAAAAUGAUGCACUGAAAGGAAAAGAAGAGUUUCAAUCUUGUAAAUAAACCAAUGUUUUUGUGACAGAGGGAAUGUAUAGGCUGUAAUUUUUAUUUUUAUUUUUUUGCUUAAUUAGAAAUGCUUAGAAUGAUAUUCUAAUUCGUUUGCGCAUCUUUUUUAUACAUGGUUUCAGGUAUUAAGUUGGAAACCAAGAGCACUUUAUUUUCCGAAGUUUGCGACUCCCGAACAAUGCGAAAGCAUAAUUAAAAUGGUUGAGUCUAAAUUAAAACCAUCUACACUAGCUUUGCGAAAGGGAGAAACUGCUGAGAGCACCAAAGAAACUAGAACAAGGUAAAUCAUUUCUUUUCCAUUUCCCUUUUAUGUGCAAUGCACCAUGUCCUUAUCUUACAACUCUUUACUCAAUGGACUUUUCAUCUUUUUGACAUUAUAACUCAUGAAAACAGUUCAGGAUCAUUUGUUAGCGGAUCAGAAGAUGAAACUGGGACCUUGGACUUCAUCGAGAAGAAAAUUGCAAAGGCUACCAUGAUCCCGCAAUCCCAUGGAGAGGUAUUUUCUUGCUGCUAUAAUGUCCUUUUUUUGGGGGCUGGAAUUCAUAGGGUUGUGAUAAUAAUUAUGUAAUAGGUAGUAUACUACUUUCCAUAUCCGUGUGUUUACUUGUUUCUCUUUCUUUUAGUAAAGCUAAAGGCAAUAACUUAUUCAAAUAUGACUCAAUCAACAGUUGUUAAUACUUUAUGACAUUAUGUAACCUAAUGUUCCAGAUUAUAGAAUCUGAUGGAUCACUGAUUCUCUUUUGUUCUGAUUUUUUUAUAUAUAUAUAAAAAGAAACACUGUCUAGCGAUUUUCUAAAUAUUUGUUCUUCAAGAGAACCAGGUAUUCUCCUGCUUUUUUUUUAAACGACAGUUGUUUAUGAGCAACACACAUACAAGUUGUUUGGUAUCAUGCUCAUGGGGCUUUGAUAACUAAAUCAAGCACAUUGGUAAAAGUUAUAGAAAAAAAAAACUGCUGCAAUUUAGAUGUUCAUUACUAGCAGAUUAAAUGGUUAAAAUAACUCUCAACAACGUUAAGGAUGCAUAUGAGAAAAGCAGAGAGAUUUUCAAAUGAUAUCACAACUUAACUCUGAGAGAGACUGUUUUAGCAGGUCAGUUUUCUUUCAACAUGCCACAAACUUGAAAAUACUAAGGAAAAUUGAAAAACUGACAGAAAAGACUAGCUUAUAUUAACACCUGUUUUGGCUAGUCACUUGCUUACCUUUCUUUCUGAUGACAUCAUUGAUUGACCCAAUUAAGCCCUGUUUCCAUGGCACUUGCUCGCUAUUUUAUUUCAGAAAUGGUACAAGGCUAUAAGCAAUCUAGAUGUGUCUUAUGGUUUCAGAAAAGAAGUUAGGGACCCUGAUUCCAGAAUCUGCAACUCAACAUGAUUAUAAACUCUUAUUCUAGUUUCCCUGUAGUAUUUUAGUUGAAAAGGGAAAGUUGGAGAUAAUGAGGAACCAUGUUUUGGGUAGAUUUAUAUAGUCAAUUAACAGUUACCUUGACGGUCUAAAAUAAAGUCUAAUGCUUUUGAAAUGCUAGCAAAUGCAUGUGAAAUCUGAUCCCUCUACUUUUGCUUUUCCUCCU
rnacentral:lncRNA from 1 species